GCUACGGACUUAAAAUCCGUCGACUUUAUAAGUCGUGAGGGUUCAAGUUCCUCUAUCCCCA
rnacentral:tRNA from 1 species